CCAGGGCGUUUGUUUUGAUUGUUUGUCAUUGGUGUUUGGUAAUAUUAUCAUUUUUCUUAUUUUCUUCCUUUUUUCGUGUAAAGAGCCUGUAAAGGGGAGAAGUAGGUCGAUCUGAUUUAGCUCUGCACUAGAUUGAUAGAGUGUGAUAGGUACCCCUGAAUCCCUGAUCUGUGAUGCUCCCGUGUCCAUGUGUAACUCCUAACGGACUUGAAUCUGUUCCUUAGAGGUGUCGUUUCUCUCUUGAUUGCCAUGCAGUUGUGCAGAGCAAUGUAAAAUAGUUACCUUUUGAUUUCUGUGAAAAUGUCGUCAGUUCGCAUGCUUCGCUUUAUUCAGCGUUUUUUGGUUCUUUCCUAUAGGGGAGGAGCUCCGCUGGAACCGCCAUACGGCAGCACUCCCCAGAUCUGAUCUUCCUAUCGAUAAUACUAGUCCAUCAUGAAAUGUCUGUCUUGUUCGAAGUGAGUGGAAACUUCUAUUGGUUCGAUCGUUACUGUUACAAUAUAUAUACCAUCUGAACAGAUGCGACACUUGGGAUAGAUGUGUCGGUUCGGCAGAGGAAUAGAGACGCGUCGGUCGCAUAGGCAAACCGCACGACGGUUAUGAACAGGGGCCCACUAGUCACAUGUGCUAAUUAAUCACAACACUUCCUCUAAUCCACGCUUGGCCAUGUAGAAUCAUCUCAUAAAUGUCCAGGCUUGUCAUCAUCUCAAAGAAUUCUUCUUCAAAAAAAUUCUUCAUUAAAAUCUUUGAUGAGAACCUGAGACAUAAACUCACAAAGAAAAUAGUGUAAUGUGAUGUUUUGAACAAGGAUAUCUCAAGAAGAGACCCCCCCCAUGCUUGCAAGUCCCGAAGUCGUCGCAUAUCAAUUCCAUGAACAUAUUUAUAGAAUGUAGAAUUUGAUAAGAGGCUUGGUAAAUAAACAAACAAGAUUUUCGCAUGAUUUAAUUUGCAAGACCUUUAUUUCCUUGCUUUGUUGAAGAUCAUGAGGGAGAAAACACUUAGGAGAAAUAUGCUUAGUGAUAUUACCCUUGAUGUAUCAUGUUUGCAUCUGUGCAACACAGGCUGCAUUAUCUUCAUAGAUAAUGGCAGGUGAUUCUAUCAAACCAAUUCCACAUGACUGUUGUAUGUGGUUUAUCAUUUUGCGAAGCUAUACACAUUUGCAUGUUGCUUCAAAUAAUGAAAUUAUUUCAGAAUGAUUGGUAGAUGUUGCCACCAGAGCUGUUUCGACGACUUCCAUCUAUAGCAGUACCACCAUGUAGGAACACAAAGCCGGUCUGUGAUCUGACAUUAUGGGGAUCGGAUAAAUAGCUAGCAUUUGCGUAUCCAAUCAUAUCAGAGUCCUGAUUUCUCUGGAACUGAAAAUAUAGGCCAAGAUCUUUUGUGCCUUGGAGAUAUCGAAAGAUAUUCUUCACUCCAGACCAAUGGCAUUUGGUGGGAGCUGUGCUAUGUCUAGCAAGUAGAUUUACUGCAAAUGCAAUACCAGGCCUCGUGAAAUUUGCAAGAUACAUAAGCACUCCAACGACACUGAGGUAUGGAGCUUCAGGUCCCAACACCUCUUCUCCAUCAUCCCUUGGACGAAAAGGAUCUUUCUCUACGUCUAGAGAUCGAACCACCAUGGGAGAUUUAGAUGGAUAGGAUUUUUCCAUAUUGAAUUUCUUCAGUAUUUUCUGGAUAUAGGCAGCUUGGUGUACCAUGAUUCCUGAGGGAAGGUGCUCAAGUUGAAUACCUAAGCAAAAUUUGGUUUUGCCCAAAUCCUUCAUCUCAAAUUCCAUCUUUAGAUGAUUGCGUGCUUCAUCAAUGUCUGGUGUGUUGCCAAUGAUGUUGAGAUCAUCAACGUACACAUAAAUGAUGCAAAAUCCUGUAGAGGACUUCUUGAUGAAGACACACAAGCAAUCAACACUAUUGGAGUAACCUUUCUGAAGAAGGAACUCACUGAGUUGGCUGUACCACAUCCGCCCCGAUUGCCUUAAGCUAUAUAAUGACUUAUUCAACUUUACACAAUACAUGUUGCGUUUUAGACUUUUAUUCAGGGCAGAGUUCCCAUCAGGAACCUUCAUAUAUAUGUCCGAAUCUAGUGACCCGUAAAGAUAUGCGGUCAUGACGUCCAUCAACUGCAUAGAUAGACGAUUUUGCAUUGCCAAAGAUAUAAGAUAUCGAAAGUGGUUCCACUCAUUACUGGAGAAUAUGUUUCAGUGAAAUCAAUGCCAGGUUUCUGCGUGAAACCUUGUGCUACGAGCCUUGCUUUAUAUCUCACCACCUCAUUGUUCUCAUUCCGUUUUCGGAGAAAACACCAUUUGAAUCCCAUAGGAAAAACACUGGGAGGUGUCGGCAUUGCUUCAGUGAAUACCUUUCUUUUGUUAAGCGAGGCAAUUUCUGCUUGGAUUGCAUCCUUCCAUUUAGGCCAGUCGGAGCGCUUUUGGCAGUCAACAAUAGAGCUUGGAUCAUGAUCUGCGAGAAGGGUAUCUGCAAUCUUUUCAGCAAAAAAAUAUGUCGACAGUCGUAGUUUUAUGGUCAAAUGAUUCUUCAGAAUCAACAUAGUUGAUGGAAAUUUCCUGCACCCCUAGCGACUCUUCAUGAUUUCCCAAUACGCGUGAGUCCGGGUGUUCUGAUGUCCCAGGCAGUUUGUGCACACUGGAGCUGGGUUGUGGAAGUUACCCUUCCACUGGGUGUAUACGACCCAUCACGUGUUUGUCAAUGUUGAGCUGACCUGCAUUUACUGACUCCGAGGUUUUUCUCCUCGAUUUCCUUUGCUGCUUGCUAGAAGCUUGCUCCAGGUUAGAGGCCAUACUACUCCCCCUCUUUUUAGGAAUAUGGAGUUUAGUGGUUUUUAUUGGUACCUCCACUCUUUUGGGCACAUUUCUGGCUGGAUUUAAGGAUUUUGUAACACCUUUGAGAUCAGUAAAUGAAUCUGGCAGAUUAUUUACAAGAUGUUGCAAAUUAAUGAUCUUCCAAACUUGAAGUUCAGUCUCUUGGGUACGUGGAUCAGAGGAUGAAAUGGCAUGAGCAUUCCAAUUAAUUUCCAGGCAUUCUUUCUGGUACUUGAAAUCUCCCCCUAAUGCCGGAAAAUGUUCCUCAUUAAAUAUGCAAUCAGCGUGACGGGCUGUGAACAAAUCCCCAGUCAUGGGUUCCAAGUACUUGAUAAUCGACGGCGAUUUGUACCCACAUAGAUCCCCAACUACCUGUGUGGGCCCAUAGAUGUCCGCUGUGGUGGUGAGAUCGGGAUGUAUGCAGCAGAUCUGAGCUUAUGCAGAUGGGAAAUGCUAGGAGGAUUUCCACGUACCAAUUCCAGUGGGGAAGAACUGUGAUAUGCAGUUGGCCUCAAUUAUAUCAGGUCAACAGCGUGUAAAACAAUGUGACCCAAAUAAGAGGUUGGCAAGUUGCAAUUCUUUAACAAAGGUAUGGCAAUGGCACUACAAAAAAAA
rnacentral:lncRNA from 1 species